CACAUAUAAAAGUUAAUGACAAACUAUGAGAAGGAAUCAGAGAGUGACUGCAGGAUCAAAUUCUGACUGAGCUCACUAUCUGUGGCUAAUCCCAAUUAUCCCAGACAAGUGAUCAGAUCAGUCAUCUUAAGGACAUGAGUUUGCAUGAAUGUGCCUUCAGUCAUCCUGGCAUGGAACAAUUGUUUAGAUAUCUUAUAUCUAGCAGUUCGAAUUUAUUCAUCAUAUAACUCUUUUAAAUUAAGG
rnacentral:lncRNA from 1 species